rnacentral:rRNA from 1 species
UACAGAGGGGGCAAGCGUUGUUCGGAAUUACUGGGCGUAAAGGGCGCGUAGGCGGCCUGCUAAGUCGAACGUGAAAUCCCUCGGCUCAACCGAGGAACUGCGUCCGAUACUGGCAGGCUGGAAUCCGGGAGAGGGAUGUGGAAUUCCUGGUGUAGCGGUGAAAUGCGCAGAUAUCAGGAGGAACACCAAUUGCGAAGGCAGCUCGCUGGGACGUUACUGACGCUGAGACGCGAAAGCGUGGGGAGCAAACAGG